GAGUUUGAUCGUGGCUCAGAUUGAACGCUGGCGGCAUGCCUUACACAUGCAAGUCGAACGGCAGCACGGGAGCUUGCUCCUGGUGGCGAGUGGCGAACGGGUGAGUAAUGCAUCGGAACGUAUCCUGGAGUGGGGGAUAACGUAGCGAAAGUUACGCUAAUACCGCAUAUUCUGUGAGCAGGAAAGCGGGGGACCUUCGGGCCUCGCGCUCUUGGAGCGGCCGAUGUCGGAUUAGCUAGUUGGUGAGGUAAAGGCUCACCAAGGCGACGAUCCGUAGCAGGUCUGAGAGGAUGAUCUGCUACACUGGAACUGAGACACGGUCCAGACUCCUACGGGAGGCAGCAGUGGGGAAUUUUGGACAAUGGGGGCAACCCUGAUCCAGCCAUGCCGCGUGAGUGAAGAAGGCC
rnacentral:rRNA from 1 species